GUCGGAGCAUCUCUACCUAGCUCCAUAUCCCUCAGACAAGGAGCUCCAGAGAAGGGCUGGUGCUGCUCCCCAGCCUGGCUCCCUAAGGGACUGUAGGAACACAGUCUUUUGCUGACUCCCAAAAGCCACGUGCCAGGCCUCCAGUUCCUCCUGUGUGUCAGGAACAGUUCUGGGGAUUCAGCUGUGAACACGAGUCAACGAUCUUCCCCAUGUCGAGCUUAUCUUCCAAUGGAGAAGAAGAGGAGUGAUCACACUUAAUAGGAAAAACAAGCAGGAAAUAAAAGCAAAAACACAAAUCCAGCAUCACUGUGAAGGGGAAGGCAAGCUGAAGAGUACCACAUAAGAAGGACUCACUGGAAGCCAUUAUUUUAUGAAGGGAGCUGGUUAAAGAAUGAUGGCAACCUUGGAAUAUUAUGCUAUAGAAGACCUACUGCUUUCUAGAAAAUGCUUUCCUGUUUUACAUAUGCCAUAACCCCAUAUGUGGGUGUUGGCACUUGGUGUUUUAGAUGAUGAAUAAUAAAACAUACUACAUCAAGUCAAUGCUCAUUUCCAUCACUCUAAUGGAGUGUUGGGCAUUAUUGUGAUAAUAUCCUUAAAAUAACUGAGUAAAAAACAAAAAAAUCUUCCAACCACAGCCAGUUAACUUCCCUAUAUAAAAAAUGUAGGUUCUUUUUUUAUUAGGCUACAAAACUAUUUCAAGCAAAUGGAAACCAAACGUGUACCAAAAAAGAGCCCAUGUGUAUUUUCAAACUGUUGUACCUCAAUGGUUCAUGCCUUUGGGCUCUAGAGCAAAGAGCAGCCAAGUCUCCCUCCUCCCUUUGUGCCUUUAGGAGGGAAUAAAAUACAUACCUGUUGAGAACAUGUUUGUAUGAUUGUAUUAAGCAAGUGACAUAUUAAUAGUCCCAAAUGUUUUGAAUAGAACCAUUUUAAUAUUAGAUUAAAAACUACCAAAAUAGUAAAUACAUGAUCGUUAAGCUCCAAAUACUCUGCUUAUUGGAAGAGAGCAUUUAAAAAAAAAUAGAGAGGUUAAUCGUAUUUUUAAGAGCCCUGAGAUGUGGACUUCUCUGAUUUCUUGAUGUCUGAUGAGCAAAGACCUGUGAGUCUCCUAAUCACUAAUGCCAAUGGAAUUUAAUGCUCUAAAAUUAAAAUUUCCCUUUUAAGUCAAUAGGUACUCCUCUUAUACCAAGAAGUUCUGAGGGGUAAGAAAUGUAUGAGAAUAUGACCAGGACAGACAAUAAUCAAGGAAAAGGAGUAGAUCCCACAUAGGCACACACACAUCAAAGCCCACACUCACAUAUACAUAUCCACGAGCACAGACACUCAACUUGUAAGCUUAAGUUCGUAUCAUGUCAAACAUCAGAGGGGUUUAAAUUUUUAUUUUCAAGCCAGUGCCCAGGGAUGGGCAUCUCCAGGGAGCUGAGGAUUAGCAUGAGGCAGCCCUGCCGGCCAUGCCUACAUCCCCACAGGCACAGGACAAGCCAAAGCCUUUGUUGUAUGUUGGCAAUGCACUUUUAUGAAUGUAAUUUCUAUUGCUGUUUUUAGCCUUUUCACAUCACGUAAUGUGAGGCCUUAUACUUGUUAAAAAAUUUAUUUUCAAAAUUGAGAAAAAUGGUAUUCAAUGGCCGAUGUUUUGAAGAAAGUUUCUUGAAUUUCCUUGUAUGUUACUCCUUGAGUCCUUCCUGCUCUCGGAAUUCAUAUAAUGCUAUGUUCUUGGCAAGCUGGGCUGCUGUGGCAAACACAGUGUAAUCAAUAAAUGAAAAAUUAAAUGCCCUAUUAUGGGCAAAGCAGGCCUGGCCAUAAUCCAACGUAAGCCUUUCCUGUCCUCUAUAUUUACUAGACUUCGCAUUGCCCUUGUUCACGUUCGCCUUAAUAAAAGCUAAAAGAGGUGCCAAAGAAUAGAUUUGUUGAAUACUUGACGCCUGUUUUUCUCGCCAUUAAAGCAUCAGCUCUGAUUAGGAGAAGCAUUAUAUCCCGUGGGAACCAGAGCCGGUGAUGGCAUUUGGUGGGGGAUUUCAAAUGCACAGAUGUGAUCUUUGGACAAUGGAAAAUCAAAUGAGCUGAAGUUGGACGAAACCAGAUGUAGAGCCUCCAAGUUCAACCAAAUACAUUGUAAAGAGGCAGUUGUGCUGCUGGGGUAAAGUGAUCCAAAAGUUAGACAUUUGAUGGUGAGUUAAAUAGGGCUUGCCCAGCCCACACAAUGCAUCAUCUUGAGGUUCACAUCUCUAUCUCCCCAAGACGAAGAAAUCAUCUCAGCACAAGUGUUUUAAUGGGAUGUAAAAAGGAUGAUCAUCUGUCAGAGCCUUAGAGAUGCAGCAUCUGAAUGGGCUCAGGUUUUGGAGGGUGCUCACACCAAAGGCUCAUGCACUCUCCACUUGUCAUUUCCCUUAGAGGUAUGCAAUUUGACGGAAAAGAUUGAUACUAACCUCCAACUUUUAAACCAGAAAGACAGUGUUUUCCUAGUGGAGUCCAAACCCCUUUGUUUGUAUGAAUGUUCUGGGGAACCAACUUUGCUUUAAGGGGAUCACUUAUUAAGCCUAGGAUUGGAACAAACAUUUUGAGGAAUCUGUCAGCCAGUGCUUUAUGAACUGCUCCCUGCUCCAUUGUAGAGUACAGCUCUCUCGAGAACCAACUCUGAGGUUCCAGCACGAAUUGUCUCACUUGACAUGAACUGUAAAACCAUUGGCACCACCUUACCUUUUCUAUCAUAAUGCCUAUGAAUAAAACCCCGUAAUCCUC